rnacentral:rRNA from 1 species
AUUGAACGCUGGCGGCAGGCCUAACACAUGCAAGUCGAGCGAGCGGCGGACGGGCGAGUAAUGUCCGGGAAACUGCCUGAUGGAGGGGGAAAACUACCGGAAACGGUAGCUAAUACCGCAUACCAUCAGAUGUGCCCAGAUGGGAUUAGCUAGUAGGUGGGGUAACGGCUCACCUAGGCGACGAUCCCUAGCUGGUCUGGGAGGAUGACCAGCCACGCUGGAACUGAGACACGGUCCAGGCUCCGACGGGAGGCAGCAGUGGGGAAUAUUGCACAAUGGGCACAAGCCUGAUGCAGCCGUGCCGCGUGUGUGAAGAAGGCCUUCGGGUUGUAAAGCACUUUCAGCGGGGAGGCGUUACCCGCAGAAGAAGCACCGGCUAGCUCCGUGCCAGCAGCCGCGGUAAUUC